UUUUUUGAUAAUAAAAAACGCCCGAUCUCGUAAGCCAAGCAGGGUCGGGCCUGGUUAGUACUUGGAUGGGAGACCGCCUGGGAAUACCAGGUGCUGUAAGGA
rnacentral:rRNA from 1 species